rnacentral:pre_miRNA from 1 species
CUAGUCUUUUCUCUUCCCCGUUCACUCUUCUCGUCAGUCGAUGAUUGAAAUUCGAAUGACUGAACAGUGCGCGAGAAGGAAGACUAG